GACGAACGCUGGCGGCGUGGAUUAGGCAUGCAAGUCGAACGGUAUCAUCCUUUCGGGGGUGAGAGAGUGGCGAACUGGUGAGUAACACGUAGGUUAUCUACCCUCAAGACGGGGACAACCCAGGGAAACUUGGGCUAAUACCGGAUGUGAGCAACUUUUAGUUGUUUGAAAGGUGGCGUAAGCUGUCGCUUGGGGAUGAGCCUGCGUCCUAUUAGUUAGUUGGUGAGGUAACGGCUCACCUAGGCAAUGAUAGGUAGGCGGCCUUAACGGGUGGUCGCCCACACUGGGAUUGAGAUACGGCCCAGACUCCUACGGGAGGCAGCAGUCGAGAAUAGUCUACAAUGGUCGGAAGACUGAUAGUGCGACGCCGCGUGAACGAUGAAUCCCUUCGGGGUGUAAAGUUCUUUUAAUGUGAGCAGUGCUUCUUAUAUUAACAGUAUGGGGAGAGAGAUAUUAGCAUAUGAAUAAGCAACGGCUAACUCCGUGCCAGCAGCCGGGU
rnacentral:rRNA from 1 species